rnacentral:rRNA from 1 species
CCGGCACGGGUGAGUAACACGUAUCCAACCUGCCGUCUACUCUUGGACAGCCUUCUGAAGGAAGAUUAAUACAAGAUGGCAUCAUGAGUUCACAUGUUCACAUGAUUAAAGGUAUUCCGGUAGACGAUGGGGAUGCGUUCCAUUAGAUAGUAGGCGGGGUAACGGCCCACCUAGUCUUCGAUGGAUAGGGGUUCUGAGAGGAAGGUCCCCCACAUUGGAACUGGGACACGGUCCAA